rnacentral:rRNA from 1 species
UUCUCUUGGAUAGCCUUCCGAAAGGGAGAUUAAUACCGGAUGGUGUUCAAUUGCCUGCAUGUUAUUUGAACUAAAGAUUCAU